rnacentral:lncRNA from 1 species
CUAUCUCAAAAAGAUAAAAAAGAGUCCUUUCAAUCUACAUCAGGUGCUCAAGAGAACAGGCUCGUCUUCGUAAGUCAUGUAAUCAACAGAAUUCAAGGAGAUGGCAGUGCAUGAUAUCUACUUUGAUUUCUUAGAAAGCUUGCCCUUCAGAUACUCUCCUCUUAAACCUACCCAGCCAUACUCUAAGAAGCCCAGCACAUGGAGAGGUCCCGUAGGUGCUCCAGAUCCUCCCUUCACUGUCUGCUGCUUGGCUGCCAAGGGAUGAGCAGCUCUCCUCCACCCACAUCCUUCCACCAUGCACUUCCUGCCUUGGAGACAGCCAAUUAUGGACUGAAUCCUCUAAACCCAGGUUUAUAGAAAUGCAACAACUUAAAGACCUAGAAGAAAUGAGUAUUUCAGCUGGU